GAGGCGAACCAGGGGAACUGAAACAUCUAAGUACCCUGAGGAAAAGAAAUCAACCGAGAUUCCCCUAGUAGCGGCGAGCGAACGGGGACCAGCCCUUAAGCAUGUGACUGAUUAGGCGAACACGCUGGGAAGCGUGGCCGUAGCGGGUGAUAGCCCCGUAGUCGAAAAUCUGAUCAUGUGAAAUCGAGUAGGUCGGGGCACGAGAAACCUUGACUGAAGACGGGGGGACCAUCCUCCAAGGCUAAAUACUCCUGGCUGACCGAUAGUGAACCAGUACCGUGAGGGAAAGGCGAAAAGAACCCCGGAGAGGGGAGUGAAAUAGAUCCUGAAACCGUGUGCGUACAAGCAGUAGGAGCAGACUUGUUCUGUGACUGCGUACCUUUUGUAUAAUGGGUCAGCGACUUAUAUUCAGUGGCGAGGUUAACCGUAUAGGGGAGCCGUAGGGAAACCGAGUCUUAACUGGGCGACACAGUCGCUGGAUAUAGACCCGAAACCGAGCGAUCUAUCCAUGAGCAGGGUGAAGAUUGAGUAACAUCAAUUGGAGGCCCGAACCAGGAUCUGUUGAAAAAGAUUUGGAUGACUUGUGGAUCGGAGUGAAAGGCUAAUCAAGCUCGGAGAUAGCUGGUUCUCCUCGAAAGCUAUUUAGGUAGCGCCUCACGUAGUACCGCCGGGGGUAGAGCACUGUUUCGGCUAGGGGGUCAUCCCGACUUACCAACCCGAGGCAAACUCCGAAUACCGGUGAGUAACGCGUGGGAGACACACGGCGGGUGCUAACGUCCGUCGUGAAAAGGGAAACAACCCAGACCGUCAGCUAAGGUCCCGAAAUCCUGGUUAAGUGGGAAACGAUGUGGGAAGGCUCAGACAGCUAGGAGGUUGGCUUAGAAGCAGCCAUCCUUUAAAGAAAGCGUAAUAGCUCACUAGUCGAGUCGGCCUGCGCGGAAGAUGUAACGGGGCUAAACCAGGUACCGAAGCUACGGGUUCAUUCUUAGGAAUGAGCGGUAGAGGAGCGUCGUGUAAGCCAAUGAAGGUGGAUUGAGAAGUC
rnacentral:rRNA from 1 species